AAUGAACGCUGGUGGCGUGCUUAACACAUGCAAGUCGGACGAGAAAGCCUGAUUUCGGUUGGGCGAGUAAAGUGGCGCACGGGUGAGUAACGCGUAGGCAACCUACCCUUGUAUCGGGGAUAACAGGACGAAAGUUCUGCUAAUACCGGAUGAGACCUUGGUUCGGCGGGAUCGAGGUGAAAGUCGGCCUCUCAUAGAAGCUGACGUACGGGGAUGGGCCUGCGUCCUAUCAGCUGGUUGGUAGGGUAGCGGCCUACCAAGGCGACGACGGGUAGCUGGUCUGAGAGGAUGAUCCGCCACACUGGCACUGGACCACGGGCCAGACUCCUACGGGAGGCAGCAGUGAGGAAUUUUGCGCAAUGGCCGGAAGGCUGACGCAGCAACGCCGCGUGGGUGAAGAAGGCCUUCGGGUCGUAAAGCCCUGUCAGGUGGGAAGAAAGGGUCUGUCAAGAAACGGAUGGAUUUUGACGGUACCACCAGAGGAAGCACCGGCUAACUCCGUGCCAGCCGCCGCAGUAAAAC
rnacentral:rRNA from 1 species